rnacentral:rRNA from 1 species
AUUGAACGCUGGCGGCGUGCUUAACACAUGCAAGUCGAUCGGUAACAGGUGUAGCAAUACAUGCUGACGAGAGGCGGACGGGUGAGUAAUGCUUGGGAAUCUGCCUAUUAGUGGGGGACAACCCGGGGAAACUCGGGCUAAUACCGCAUACGCUCUACGGAGGAAAGCCGGGGACCGCAAGGCCUGGCGCUAAUAGAUGAGCCCAAGUCGGAUUAGCUAGUUGGUAGGGUAACGGCCUACCAAGGCGACAAUCCGUAGCUGGUCUGAGAGGACGACAGCACACCGACUGAGACACGGUCCGGACUCCGUACGGGAGGC